AUUGAACGCUGGCGGCAGGCCUAACACAUGCAAGUCGGACGGUAGCACAGAGAGCUUGCUCUCGGGUGACGAGUGGCGGACGGGUGAGUAAUGUCUGGGGAUCUGCCCGAUAGAGGGGGAUAACCACUGGAAACGGUGGCUAAUACCGCAUAACGUCGCAAGACCAAAGAGGGGGACCUUCGGGCCUCUCACUACCGGAUGAACCCAGAUGGGAUUAGCUAGUAGGCGGGGUAACGGCCCACCUAGGCGACGAUCCCUAGCUGGUCUGAGAGGAUGACCAGCCACACUGGAACUGAGACACGGUCCAGACUCCUACGGGAGGCAGCAGUGGGGAAUACUGCACAAUGGGCGCAAGCCUGAUGCAGCCAUGCCGCGUGUAUGAAGAAGGCCUUCGGGUUGUAAAGUACUUUCAGCGGGGAGGAAGGCGAUGUGGUUAAUAACCGUAUCGAUUGACGUUACCCGCAGAAGAAGCACCGGCUAACUCCGUGCCAGCCGCCGCCGUAA
rnacentral:rRNA from 1 species